rnacentral:rRNA from 1 species
AUUGAACGCUGGCGGCAGGCCUAACACAUGCAAGUCGAGCGAGCGGCGGACGGGUGAGUAAUGUAUGGGGACUGCCCGAUAGCGGGGGAUAACUACUGGAAACGGUAGCUAAUACCGCAUACUAUCGGAUAACCCAUAUGGGAUUAGCUAGUAGGUGAGGUAAUGGCUCACCUAGGCGACGAUCCCUAGCUGGUCUGAGAGGAUGAUCAGGCACACUGGGACGGAGACACGGCCCAGACAACAACGGAGGCAGGAGUGGGGAAUAUUGCAGAAGGGGAGCAAGCCUGAUGCAGCCAUGCCGCGUGUAUGAAGAAGGCCGUAGGGUUGGAAAGUACUUUCAGUCGGGAGGCGUUACCGACAGAAGAAGCACCGGCUAACUCCGUGCCAGCAGCCGCGGUAAUUC